rnacentral:rRNA from 1 species
CCUACGGGUGGCAGCAGUGAGGAAUAUUGGUCAAUGGACGAGAGUCUGAACCAGCCAAGUAGCGUGAAGGAUGACUGCCCUAUGGUUUGUAAACUUCUUUUAUAAAGGAAUAAAACGAAGCGCGUGUGCCUUUUUGCAUGUACUUUAUGCAUAAGAAUCGGCUAACUCCGUGCCAGCAGCCGCGGUAAUACGGAGGAUACGGGCGUUAUCCGGAUUUAGUGGGUUUAAAGGGAGCGUAGAUGGGUUGUUAAGUCAGUUGUGAAAGUGUGCGGCUCAACCGUAAAAUUGCAAUUGAUACUGGCAGUCUUGAGUACAGUUGAGGUAGGUGGAAUUCGUGGUGUAGCGGUGAAAUGCUUAGAUAUCACGAAGAACCCCGAUGGCGAAGGCAGCUCACUAAACUGUGACUGACACUGAGGCUCGAAAGUGUGGGUAUCAAACAGGAUUAGAUACCCGAGUAGUC